rnacentral:rRNA from 1 species
CUCUUUUUGAAUUUAAUUUAAAGUUGGGCCUGCCCACUGAUUUUUUGAAGGGCCGCAGUAUUUUGACUGUGCAAAGGUAGCAUAAUCAAUAGUUUUUUAAUUGAAAGCUUGUAUGAAUGGUUUGAUGAGAAAAUUACUGUUUCAAUUUAAUUAAUAGAAUUUUAUUUUUAAGUAAAAAAGCUUAAAUUUAAUUUAAAGACGAGAAGACCCUAUAGAGUUUAACUAAAAUUAAAAUUUGAAAUUUAGGAAUUUUUUAUUUAAAUUUUAAUAAAGUUUUGUUGGGGUGACUAAAAAAUUAAAUUAACUUUUUUUAUAUUUAAACAAUAAUUUUUGAUUUAUUGAUCCAUAAAAAUGAUUAUAAGAAUAAAUUACCUUAGGGAUAACAGCGUAAUUUUUUUUGAGAGUUCUUAUUGAAAAAAAAGAUUGCGACCUCGAUGUUGGAUUAAAAUAAAUUUUUGGUGUAGAAGCUAAAAAAUUAGGUCUGUUCGACCUUUGAAAUUUUACAUGAUCUGAGUUU